rnacentral:rRNA from 1 species
UGGGGAAUUUUGGACAAUGGGCGCAAGCCUGAUCCAGCCAUUCCGCGUGCAGGAUGAAGGCCCUCGGGUUGUAAACUGCUUUUGUACGGAACGAACAGGCUUCCUCUAAUACAGGAGGCUCAUGACGGUACCGUAAGAAUAAGCACCGGCUAACUACGUGCCAGCAGCCGCGGUAAUACGUAGGGGGCAAGCGUUAAUCGGAAUUACUGGGCGUAAAGCGUGCGCAGGCGGUGAUGUAAGACAGGUGUGAAAUCCCCGGGCUUAACCUGGGAACUGCAUUUGUGACUGCAUUGCUGGAGUGCGGCAUAGGGGGAUGGAAUUCCGCGUGUAGCAGUGAAAUGCGUAAAUAUGCGGAGGAACACCGAUGGCGAAGGCAAUCCCCUGGGCCUGCACUUACGCUCAUGCACGAAAGCGUGGGGAGCAAACA